UUUUAAUUGAAACAUCUAGAACAUGAGCUUUCUGUCAAGGAAAGAUAGAAAUAUUCCAGGUGCAUAUUUCCUUGUUUGAAAGAUACGGAAUGCUCUAUAAAUUGUCUUCAGUAAAUAUCUUUAAUUUUAUGUAAACAUAUACACCUUUUUAACAAAUAUACCUGGAGUUUUUAUUGACGCUAUCUUGCAGUCUUAUGCCAUUAUUAUUUUGUUCACCCAUCCAGUUGGACUACCUUUCACAUGUAUCAUGAUUUUCAUAAAUCUAAAUAUCUCCUGUAACAUAACUGUCUUUUAAGGAGUGAAUGAGUGGAUUUUUUGAUGGCACCAUAACACAGAAAGCAAAUAUGGAUGGAAAAAUCUAAAGACUAAAAAUGAAUUUACCUCCAUCUUCUGAUCCAUUUAUCUCCAGCAACAUUAGCAUAGCAUAGGUAAUACGUGGACUGGGCAUUUGAGAACCACUGUUGUAGCUAUUUCCUACUCAUCCUUCAGUUGUUAUUCCCUCAGAGGAGACUUUCUGGUUCUCCAGACUGGAUUCUGUCCCGCUGGUUACACACUUCAAUGGAACCCUCCACUUUUCCAUGGUAAUGCUUUUCACAAUUGAAAUUAAAUACUUGCUAUAUGUAAUUAUUUGUUUAAUGUGUGUCUCCUUCACUAGGCCCUGGACUUCAUGAAGGGCAAAAAUAGUGUCUGGUUUAUUCACUUUUUUAUCCCAGCACAAGGGCACCUGGCACACGUAGUUGUUCAAUAAAUAUUGAAAUAAUGCAUAAAAGGAAGCAAUCAUGUAUGUAAAGUACCUGGUACAUUUAAUAGUAGCAAUAACAUUUCUCAAAAU
rnacentral:lncRNA from 1 species